GACGAACGCUGGCGGCGUGCCUAAUACAUGCAAGUAGAACGCUGAAGGAGGAGCUUGCUUCUCCGGAUGAGUUGCGAACGGGUGAGUAACGCGUAGGUAACCUGCCUGGUAGCGGGGGAUAACUAUUGGAAACGAUAGCUAAUACCGCAUAAGAGUAGAUGUCGCAUGACAUUUGCUUAAAAGGUGCAACUGCACCACUACCAGAUGGACCUGCGUUGUAUUAGCUAGUUGGUGAGGUAACGGCUCACCAAGGCAACGAUACAUAGCCGACCUGAGAGGGUGAUCGGCCACACUGGGACUGAGACACGGCCCAGACUCCUACGGGAGGCAGCAGUAGGGAAUCUCGGCAAUGGACGGAAGUCUGACCGAGCAACGCCGCGGGAGUGAAGAAGGUUUUCGGAUCGUAAAGCUCUGUUGUAAGAGAAGAACGAGUGUGAGAGUGGAAAGUUCACACUGUGACGGUAUCUUACCAGAAAGGGACGGCUAACUACGUG
rnacentral:rRNA from 1 species